UGUUUCCUACGGGGCGCAGCAGUGAGGAAUAUUGGUCAAUGGACGCAAGUCUGAACCAGCCAUGCCGCGUGCAGGAUGACGGCUCUAUGAGUUGUAAACUGCUUUUGUACGAGGGUAAACCCCGAUACGUGUAUCGGGUUGAAAGUAUCGUACGAAUAAGGAUCGGCUAACUCCGUGCCAGCAGCCGCGGUAAUACGGAGGAUCCGAGCGUUAUCCGGAUUUAUUGGGUUUAAAGGGUGCGUAGGCGGUUUGAUAAGUUAGAGGUGAAAUGGCGGGGGUCAAACCCGGAACUGCCUCUAAUACUG
rnacentral:rRNA from 1 species